ACAGGGAUUGCCUCAGUAACGGCGAGUGAAGCGGCAACAGCUCAAAUUUGAAAUCUGGCCCUAGGCCCGAGUUGUAAUUUGCAGAGGAUGCUUCUGGCGCGGUGCCUUCCAAGUCCCCUGGAACGGGGCGCCAUAGAGGGUGAGAGCCCCGUCGGGUUGGCCGCCAAGCCUGUGUGAAGCUCCUUCGACGAGUCGAGUAGUUUGGGAAUGCUGCUCUAAACGGGAGGUAGACCCCUUCUAAAGCUAAAUACCGGCCAGAGACCGAUAGCGCACAAGUAGAGUGAUCGAAAGAUGAAAAGCACUUUGAAAAGAGGGUUAAACAGUACGUGAAAUUGUUGAAAGGGAAGCGCUUGUGACCAGACGUGCACCGGGUGUUCAGCGGGCGUUCUCGCCCGUGCAUUCGCCCCGGUGCAGGCCAGCGUCGGUUUGGGCGGGGGGAUAAAGGCGCCAGGAACGUAUCUCCCCCGGGAGUGUUAUAGCCUGGUGCGUCAUGCCCCCGCCUGGACCGAGGUUCGCGCUCCGCAAGGACGCUGGCGUAAUGGUCCCCAGCGGCCCGUCUUGAAACACGGACCAAGGAGUCGAGGUUUUACGCGAGUGUCUGGGUGUCAAACCCGCACGCGUAAUGAAAGUGAACGUAGGUGGGAGCUUCGGCGCACCACCGACCGAUCCUGAUGUUUUCGGAUGGAUUUGAGUAGGAGCGUAGGGCCUCGGACCCGAAAGAUGGUGAACUAUACUUGGAUAGGGUGAAGCCAGAGGAAACUCUGGUGGAGGCUCGCAGCGGUUCUGACGUGCAAAUCGAUCGUCAAAUCUGAGUAUGG
rnacentral:rRNA from 1 species